CCUACGGGAGGCAGCAGUCGAGAAUCAUUCACAAUGGGGGAAACCCUGAUGGUGCGACGCCGCGUGGGGGAAUGAAGGUCUUCGGAUUGUAAACCCCUGUCAUGUGGGAGCAAAUUAAAAAGAUAGUACCACAAGAGGAAGAGACGGCUAACUCUGUGCCAGCAGCCGAGGUAAUACAGAGGUCUUAAGCGUUGUUCGGCAUCACUGGGCGUAAAGCGUGCGUAGGCUGUUUCGUAAGUCGUGUGUGAAAGGCGCGGGCUCAACCCGCGGACGGCACAUGAUACUGCGAGACUAGAGUAAUGGAGGUGGAACCGGAAUUCUCGGUGUAGCAGUGGAAUGCGUAGAUAUCGAGAGGAACACUCGUGGCGAAGGCGGGUUCCUGGACAUUAACUGACGCUGAGGCACGAAGGCCAUGGGAGCGAAAGGGAUUAGAUACCCGAGUAGUC
rnacentral:rRNA from 1 species